rnacentral:rRNA from 1 species
GACGAACGCUGGCGGCGUGCUUAACACAUGCAAGUCGAACGGAGUUGCGAACGGGUGAGUAACACGUGGGUGAUCUGCCUUGCACUCUGGGAUAAGAUUGGGGAACUGGGUCUAAUCCCUGAUAGUGCCAGAUGAGCGCGCGGCCUAUCAGCUUGUUAGUGGGGUAAUGGACUACCAAGUCGUCGAAGGGUAGCCGGCCUGAGAGGGUGUACGGCCACAGUGGGACGGAGAGACGGCGCAGACUCGUACGGGAGGCAGCAGUGGGGAAUAUUGCACAAUGGGCGGGAGCCUGAUGCAGCGACGCCGCGUGGGGGAUGACGGCCUUCGGGUUGUAAACUCCUUUCGACAGGGACGCGGUACCUGUAUAAGAAGCACCGGCUAACUACGUGCCAGCAGCCGCGGUAAUAC